rnacentral:rRNA from 1 species
AUUGAACGCUGACGGCAGGCUUAACACAUGCAAUUCGACCGAGUGGCGGACUGGUGAGUAAUGUCUUUGACGCUGGCUUAUGUGUGGGUAUAACUACGGGAAACUGUAGCUAAUACCGCGUUCCAUAGGAUGAGCCCAAGUGGGAUUAGUUAGUUGGUGGGGUAACGGCUCACCAAGCCGACGCUCUCUAGCUUGUCUGAGAGGAUGACCAGCCAGACUGGGACUGGGACACGGCCCAGACUCCUACGGGAGGCCGCAGUGGGGAAUAUGGCGCAAGGGGGGCAACUGGAGGCAGGCAUGCCGCGUGAAUGAAGAAGGAAUUCGGGUUGUAAAGUUCUUUCGGUAGCGAGGCGUUAGCUUCAGAAGAAGCACCGGCUAACUCCGUGCUAGCAGCCGCGGUAAUAC